rnacentral:rRNA from 1 species
GACAGCAGUCGCCACGGUAAUACGUAUGUCGCAAGCGUUAUUCGGAAUUAUUGGGCAUAAAGGGCAUCUAGGCGGCCAGACAAGUCUGGGGUGAAAACUUGCGGCUCAACCGCAAGCCUGCCCUGGAAACUGUUUGGCUAGAGUGCUGGAGAGGUGGACGGAACUGCACGAGUAGAGGUGAAAUUCGUAGAUAUGUGCAGGAAUGCCGAUGAUGAAGAUAGUUCACUGGACGGCAACUGACGCUGAAGUGCGAAAGCUAGGGGAGCGAACAGGAUUAGAGACCCGUGUAGUCCCUGUCUCUUAUAC